rnacentral:rRNA from 1 species
AUUGAACGCUGGCGGCAGGCCUAACACAUGCAAGUCGAACGAGUGGCGGACGGGUGAGUAAUGUCUGGGAAACUGCCUGAUGGAGGGGGAUAACUACUGGAAACGGUAGCUAAUACCGCAUACCAUCGGAUGUGCCCAGAUUGUAUUAGCUAGUAGGGGGGGUAAAGGCUCACCUAGGCGACGAUCCAUAGCUGGUCUGAGAGGAUGACCCGCCAAACUGGAACUGGGACACGGUCCAGCCUCCUACGGGAGUCAGCAGUGGGGAUUAUUGGACAAUGGGCGCAAGCCGAAUUCAGCCAUGCGGCGUGUAUGAAGAAGGCCUUCGGGUUGUAAAGUACUUUCAGCGGGGAGGCGUUACCCGCAGAAUAAGCACCGGCUAACUCCGUGCCAGCAGCCGCGGUAAUUC